ACAUCCAGAGAACUUAGCAGAGAUGCUUUGGUGCCUUCGGGAACUCUGAGACAGGUGCUGCAUGGCUGUCGUCAGCUCGUGUUGUGAAAUGUUGGGUUAAGUCCCGCAACGAGCGCAACCCUUAUCCUUUGUUGCCAGCGGUUCGGCCGGGAACUCAAAGGAGACUGCCGGUGAUAAACCGGAGGAAGGUGGGGAUGACGUCAAGUCAUCAUGGCCCUUACGGCCAGGGCUACACACGUGCUACAAUGGCGCAUACAAAGAGAAGCGACCUCGCGAGAGCAAGCGGACCUCAUAAAGUGCGUCGUAGUCCGGAUUGGAGUCUGCAACUCGACUCCAUGAAGUCGGAAUCGCUAGUAAUCGUAGAUCAGAAUGCUACGGUCGAAUACGUUCCCGGGCCUUGUACACACCGCCCGUCACACCAUGGGAGUGGGUUGCAAAAGAAGUAGGUAGCUUAACCUUCGGGAGGGCGCUUACCACUUUGUGAUUCAUGACUGGGGUGAAGUCGUAACAAGGUAAGCGUAGCGAG
rnacentral:rRNA from 1 species